UGGGGCGUCGUCAAGUGGUAAGACACAGGGUUUUGAUCCCUGCAUUCAGAGGUUCGAGUCCUCUCGCCCCAGCCA
rnacentral:tRNA from 4 species